rnacentral:rRNA from 1 species
UAUAGGUUUGGUCCCAGCCUUCCUGUUAACUUUCAAUAGACUUAUACAUGCGAGCAUCCACGCCCCGGUGAGUAACGCCCUUCGAAUCACACAGGACUAAAAGGAGCAGGUAUCAAGCACACACUCUUGUAGCUCACAACGCCUUGCUUAACCACACCCCCACGGGAGACAGCAGUAACAAAAAUUAAGCCAUAAACGAAAGUUUGACUAAGCCAUAUUGACUAGGGUUGGUAAAUCUCGUGCCAGCCACCGCGGUCAUACGAUUGACCCAAGCUAACAGGAGUACGGCGUAAAGCGUGUUAAAGCAUCAUACUAAAUAGAGUUAAAUUUUAAUUAAACUGUAAAAAGCCAUAAUUAUAACAAAAAUAAAUGACGAAAGUAACCCUACAAUAGCUGAUACACCAUAGCUAAGACCCAAACUGGGAUUAGAUACCCCACUAUGCUUAGCCCUAAACACAAAUAAUUAU